rnacentral:rRNA from 1 species
AUUGAACGCUGGCGGCAGGCUUAACACAUGCAAGUCGAGCGGGGAAGGUUGCUUUGGUAACUGACCUAGCGGCGGACGGGUGAGUAAUGCUUAGGAAUCUGCCUAUUAGUGGGGGACAACAUUCCGAAAGGAAUGCUAAUACCGCAUACGCCCUACGGGGGAAAGCAGGGGAUCUUCGGACCUUGCGCUAAUAGAUGAGCCUAAGUCGGAUUAGCUAGUUGGUGGGGUAAAGGCCUACCAAGGCGACGAUCUGUAGCGGGUCUGAGAGGAUGAUCCGCCACACUGGGACUGAGACACGGCCCAGACUCCUACGGGAGGCAGCAGUGGGGAAUAUUGGACAAUGGGCGGAAGCCUGAUCCAGCCAUGCCGCGUGUGUGAAGAAGGCCUUUUGGUUGUAAAGCACUUUAAGCGAGGAGGAGGCUCCUUUAGUUAAUACCUAAAGAGAGUGGACGUUACUCGCAGAAUAAGCACCGGCUAACUCUGUGCCAGCCGCCGCGGUAA